GACGAACGCUGGCGGCGUGCUUAACACAUGCAAGUCGUACGGUAAGGCCCUUUCGGGGGUCCACGAGUGGCGCACGGGUGAGUAACACGUGAGUAACCUGCCCACAACUUUGGGAUAACGCUAGGAAACUGGUGCUAAUACUGGAUAUGUUCUCCUGCUGCAUGGUGGGGGUUGGAAAGCUCCGGCGGUUGUGGAUGGACUCGCGGCCUAUCAGCUUGUUGGUGGGGUAGUGGCCUACCAAGGCGGCGACGGGUAGCCGGCCUGAGAGGGUGACCGGCCACAUUGGGACUGAGAUACGGCCCAGACUCCUACGGGAGGCAGCAGUGGGGAAUAUUGAACAAUGGGCGCAAGCCUGAUGCAGCAACGCCGCGUGCGGGAUGACGGCCUUCGGGUUGUAAACCGCUUUCAGCAGGGACGAAGCUUUUUGUGACGGUACCUGCAGAAGAAGCACCGGCUAACUACGUG
rnacentral:rRNA from 1 species